rnacentral:ncRNA from 1 species
GUAAAAGCGAUGACGGGGAAAGUAAGCACCGGGAAACCCCAAGCGAGCCGGUGGCGGUGGGAGACCGGCGGAUUACCGGUGGCCGAAAAUCCCCCCGGAGCGAGGCCCGAAACGCAAGGAGUAGGAGCCUACGGCUUUGCCGUUAUCUCAAUGAGAGGGCCGGGCGGAUUUCGCCCGGUUCCAUCAGGGUGGUACCGCGGGAGCAGUCUCGCCCCUUUU